GAUGAACGCGGGCGGCGUGCUUAACACAUGCAAGUCGAACGGAGACUUUUUCAGUGCAACCUUCGGGGAGCAAGAGAAAGUUUAGUGGCGGACGGGUGAGUAACGCGUGGGCAACCUGCCUCGCACCGUGGGAUAACAGGGGGAAGCUCCUGCUAAUACCGCAUAAAGUAUAUAGACGCAUGUCAAUAUACAAAAAGGGAUACCGGUGAGAGAUGGGCCCGCGUCCGAUUAGAUAGUUGGCAGGAUAGCAGCCUACCAAGUCAACGAUCGGUAGCCGGCUUGAGAGAGUGGACGGCCACACUGGGACUGAGACACGGCCCAGACUCCUACGGGAGGCAGCAGUGGGGAAUAUUGGACAAUGGGGGCAACCCUGAUCCAGCGACGCCGCGUGAGUGAAGAAGUAUCUCGGUACGUAAAGCUCUAUCAGCAGGGAAGAAAAAAGACGUACCUG
rnacentral:rRNA from 1 species